CUCGCGGGAUCAAGGCCCGCCUAUUCAG
rnacentral:tRNA from 1 species